UGUUUUACCAAGGUGUAAGUGUGUGCGGGCACUGAGGAGCGUCCCGUCGCGUUGCGUCAAUAAAGGUGAACGGAAUAGACAAGUCCAAGGGAUCGCCAAUCAGGACCCUUUGGGUCCGCUCUGCCAGGCAACCCAAAGCAUCCAGUCGUUCAAGACCGCAGAUCUGUACCGAAAGAAGAAGGAACUGAAGAAUCUGACGAUUACGAUAAUCUCAACAGCUCUAUUUCUAGUCGGGGAGCUCCAACAGAAGGCCAAUGGUUUGCGUAGGCAGCGCUGGCGAUGAUCACCAUCCGCGCCUCCCGCAAGCGUCGGCGGAAAAUUUGAAUCGCAGAUUACGAAGAUACACGGAGAUCCACGCGGGAGGAUCUAAUGAAAAGGCGCAUAAAAACUUCAAAAAGGACAGGCAUCCUCGAAUCGUCCUCGAAUAAGCCACUUAGACAAUUAUCAUAGGCAAUCAGCCGUAAAGAGGAUAAGCCAGAGAAAUAGU